GACGAACGCUGGCGGCGUGCUUAACACAUGCAAGUCGAACGGAAAGGCCCUGCUUUUGUGGGGCGCUCGAGUGGCGAACGGGUGAGUAACACGUGAGUAACCUGCCCUUGACUUUGGGAUAACUUCAGGAAACUGGGGCUAAUACCGGAUAGGAGCUCCUGCUGCAUGGUGGGGGUUGGAAAGUUUCGGCGGUUGGGGAUGGACUCGCGGCUUAUCAGCUUGUUGGGGGGGUAGUGGCUUACCAAGGCUUUGACGGGUAGCCGGCCUGAGGGGGUGACCGGCACCAUUGGGACUGGAAUACGGCCCGGACUCCUACGGAGGGCAGCGGUGGGAAAUAUUGAACAAUGGGCGGAGGCCUGAUGCAGCAACGCCGCGUGCGGGAUAACGGCCUUCGGGUUGUAAACCGCUUUCGCCUGUGACGAAGCGUGAGUGACGGUAAUGGGUAAAGAAGCACCGGCUAACUACGUG
rnacentral:rRNA from 1 species